rnacentral:rRNA from 1 species
AUGAACGCUAGCGACAGGCUUAACACAUGCAAGUCGAGGGGCAGCGGGGGAUAAGCUUGCUUUUCCUGCCGGCGACCGGCGCACGGGUGAGUAACACGUAUGCAACCUGCCCCUGUCAGAGGGAUAAUCCGGAGAAAUCCGGUCUAAUAUCGCAUAAAGCGUUUGCGGGGCAUCCUGCGAGCGCCAAAGGAGUAAUCCGGACAGGGAUGGGCAUGCGGCGCAUUAGCUAGUUGGGGGGGUAACGGCCCACCAAGGCGACGAUGCGUAGGGGUUCUGAGAGGAAGGUCCCCCACAUUGGUACUGAGACACGGACCAAACUCCUACGGGAGGCAGCAGUGAGGAAUAUUGGUCAAUGGGCGGAAGCCUGAACCAGCCAAGUCGCGUGAGGGAAGACGGCCCUAUGGGUUGUAAACCUCUUUUGCCGGGGAGCAAAAGCGCCGUGCGCGGUGCUAUGAGAGUACCCGGAGAAAAAGCAUCGGCUAACUCCGUGCCAGCAGCCGCGGUAAUACGGAGGAUGCGAGCGUUAUCCGGAUUUAUUGGGUUUAAAGGGUGCGUAGGCGGACAGUUAAGUCAGCGGUCAAAACGGGCGGCUCAACCGCCUGCCGCCGUUGAAACUGGCAGUCUAGAGUGGGCGAGAAGUACGCGGAAUGCGCGGUGUAGCGGUGAAAUGCAUAGAUAUUGCGCAGAACUCCGAUUGCGAAGGCAGCGUACCGGCGCCCGACUGACGCUGAGGCACGAAAGCGUGGGGAUCGAACAGGAUUAGAUACCCUGGUAGUCCACGCAGUAAACGAUGGACACUAUCUGUUCGGGUCGAAUGGGAUCUGAGUGGCACAGCGAAAGCGUUAAGUGUCCCACCUGGGGAGUACGCCGGCAACGGUGAAACUCAAAGGAAUUGACGGGGGCCCGCACAAGCGGAGGAACAUGUGGUUUAAUUCGAUGAUACGCGAGGAACCUUACCCGGGUUUGAACGCAUUCGGACCGAGGUGGAAACACCUUUUCUAGCAAUAGCCGUUUGCGAGGUGCUGCAUGGUUGUCGUCAGCUCGUGCCGUGAGGUGUCGGCUUAAGUGCCAUAACGAGCGCAACCCCCAUCCGCAGUUGCCAGCAGGUAAAGCUGGGGACUCUGCGGAGACUGCCGGCGCAAGCUGAGAGGAAGGCGGGGAUGACGUCAAAUCAGCACGGCCCUUACGUCCGGGGCGACACACGUGUUACAAUGGCAGGGACAGAGGGAAGCCACCGGGCGACCGGGCGCGGACCCCGAAACCCUGUCUCAGUUCGGAUCGGAGUCUGCAACUCGACUCCGUGAAGCUGGAUUCGCUAGUAAUCGCGCAUCAGCCAUGGCGCGGUGAAUACGUUCCCGGGCCUUGUACACACCGCCCGUCAAGCCAUGGAAGCCGGGAGUGCCUGAAGUGCGUGACCGCAAGGAGCGCCCUAGGGUAAAACCGGUGACUGGGGCU